AGCAGCCGCGGUAAUUCCAGCUCCAAUAGCGUAUAUUAAAGUUGUUGCAGUUAAAAAGCUCGUAGUUGAAUUUCGGGGUUAGUACGCUGGUCGUGCCUUCGGUAUGUACUGGUGUUACUGAUUCCUACCUUCUGAAGAACCGUCAUGUCAUUAAUUUGGUGUGGCGGGGAAUCAGGACUGUUACUUUGAAAAAAUUAGAGUGUUUAAAGCAGGCUCGCGCUUGAAUACAUUAGCAUGGAAUAAUGAAAUAGGACGUUUGAUCCUAUUUUGUUGGUUUUCUAGGAUUGACGUAAUGAUUAAUAGGGAUAGUUGGGGGCAUUAGUAUUCAAUUGUCAGAGGUGAAAUUCUUGGAUUUAUUGAAGACUAACUACUGCGAAAGCAUUUGCCAAGGAUGUUUUCAUUAAUCAAGAACGAAAGUUAGGGGAUCGAAGACGAUCAGAUACCGUCGUA
rnacentral:rRNA from 1 species